rnacentral:rRNA from 1 species
AGCGUUAAUCGGAAUGACUGGGCGUAAAGCGCACGCAGGCGGUUUGUUAAGUCAGAUGUGAAAUCCCCGAGCUUAACUUGGGAACUGCAUUUGAAACUGGCAAGCUAGAGUCUUGUAGAGGGGGGUAGAAUUCCAGGUGUAGCGGUGAAAUGCGUAGAGAUCUGGAGGAAUACCGGUGGCGAAGGCGGCCCCCUGGACAAAGACUGACGCUCAGGUGCGAAAGCGUGGGGAGCAAACAGGAUUAGAUACCC